rnacentral:rRNA from 1 species
UAGGGAAUCUUCGGCAAUGGACGGAAGUCUGACCGAGCAACGCCGCGUGAGUGAAGAAGGUUUUCGGAUCGUAAAGCUCUGUUGUAAGAGAAGAACGAGUGUGAGAGUGGAAAGUUCACACUGUGACGGUAUCUUACCAGAAAGGGACGGCUAACUACGUGCCAGCAGCCGCGGUAAUACGUAGGUCCCGAGCGUUGUCCGGAUUUAUUGGGCGUAAAGCGAGCGCAGGCGGUUAGAUAAGUCUGAAGUUAAAGGCUGUGGCUUAACCAUAGUACGCUUUGGAAACUGUUUAACUUGAGUGCAGAAGGGGAGAGUGGAAUUCCAUGUGUAGCGGUGAAAUGCGUAGAUAUAUGGAGGAACACCGGUGGCGAAAGCGGCUCUCUGGUCUGUAACUGACGCUGAGGCUCGAAAGCGUGGGGAGCGAACAGGAUUAGAUACCCUGGUAGUCCACGCCGUANCGAUGAGUGCUAGGUGUUAGGUCCUUUCCGGGACUUAGUGCCGCAGCUAACGCAUUAAGCACUCCGCCUGGNGAGUACGACCGCAAGGNU